GACGAACGCUGGCGGCGUGCCUAAUACAUGCAAGUAGAACGCACAGUUUAUACCGUAGCUUGCUACACCAUAGACUGUGAGUUGCGAACGGGUGAGUAACGCGUAGGUAACCUGCCUGGUAGCGGGGGAUAACUAUUGGAAACGAUAGCUAAUACCGCAUAAUAUUGAUUAUUGCAUGAUAAUUGAUUGAAAGAUGCUAUUGCAUCACUACCAGAUGGCCCUGCGUUGUAUUAGCUAGUAGGUGAGGUAACGGCUCACCUAGGCGACGAUACAUAGCCGACCCGGGAGGGUGAUCGGCCAAACUGGGACUGAGACACGGCCCAGACUCCUACGGGAGGGAGCAGUAGGGAAUCUUCGGGAAUGGACGAAAGUCUGACCGAGCAACGCCGCGUGAGUGAAGAAGGUUUUCGGAUCGGAAAGCUCUGUUGUAAGAGAAGAACGGGUGUGAGAGUGGAAAGUGCACACUGUGACGGUAUCUUACCAGAAAGGGACGGCUAACUACGUG
rnacentral:rRNA from 1 species